GUAUGGUCGGUGCUUAAUGUGUAGCACUUCACCACGUUUGAAUGUUUCUGUCGUUUCCUGAAUGGAUAUAGUUGACAUCGCUGUCUGGAAGAAGGGUUGCAUUGCAAAAUGCGAAAAUGCUACUGCUUUUUACCAAGUAUGCUGCGAUGAAGACCUCUGCAACGGCGGAGUGACCGCACAGGGCCACGUGUUCCCCACGAUCGUGCUGCCCCUCCUGAGUCUGAUGACGACGGUGAUGAUGGUGAUGCAGGGUUAGGAGAGGAAAAAACCGGCUCACACGAGACACAACACCAACUCCCCACCUCCUCAUCCUUCAAACCAUCUCAUACAAUAAUUAUCCCUGCAGUCACGAAAGCUUUAAGUCAAGAUUAAUCCCAUACUUGAUGUUUAGACGGAGCGCUCCGGUGUGUUUUCUGCCUGUGCCGCGUGUUGCUCGACACAAUUCCCGACGUUUCGCGCCACGUGCCAAUAGCUUCUUGGAGAAACUAAAGCGUGGAGCGAAACGUCGGACAUCAUGCCACACAACGCGCGGUACAACCCAAAAACACACCGGAGACAGCACAGCCAAGAAACCCUACACAGUGACUUUAGGCCUAGCCAAUGAAUAGUGCAGUGCAGUGUCGCCGUCAUCAGCCACGGUCGAUCCACUGCCGGACGAAAGCCUCCCCAAGCCUCCGUCUUUGUUCACAGUAGUCCUGCGGCGCCACGAUCCAACUCGCACACAGCCACGAGACGACCUCGUCGCUCGGGCAGCGUCCCCCUCCUUUGCCUGCCACUCCGUCGCGAGUCUCGGCCACCAGACAUCUGCCCAUCUUAGCACCUCGUGGCGCCUACGGUGUACACCAGUGGUUCUUGACAUUCACUGCACCACCUUGGGUUCUCAACCGUUCACAAAACGUACAACGUUAAUAAACGCAUGGGUUUGAUGAAACAAAAGUAGUUGUUCUUACGUGCCCGUGCUAAUUUAUGUUUCGAUGUUUUAACGUUAAAAAAAAUUACUGGCAUGUCUCGCACCCCCAGAAGGGGCAUCCCAAGUUAAGAACCACUGGUUUAUACGACACCCAUCUCAUACGCGUGUCCCACAAAGACGCUAUCUAACGAUGUCUCACAUCGUCACAUCUGUGUAGAUUCCGUCCUAACAAAAGUAAUCCAAUGGCAUGAAUCUUAUCUUAUGUACAUACAAAUUCGAGCACUAUAAUCAAUAGCUUAUAUUCCGCAAUUCUUUGUCAUGUGUUCUUCAUAACAAAUAGAAAAGGGUUCAGGGUUCAGACCCAUAGGUGCCAUUAUCUUGCGAUGAGUCGGGACACUGCCUGUGUCGUCGUCUGUACUGAGUGCUGGAGCAAGCUGCGUUCACGGGUGUGCCCUCAAAUUGAAAACCCUAAACAAUGUGGGGAUGCUGCUGCGGCUGCUGCUGCGUUUGGCAGUUGUACACAAGCACAACAAUAACAACAACAACAAAUGUGAACACCUUCGUCAACAACACUGUGGCCUUAAAAGGAAACGUAUCGCAAUAUCUGAUGUAAGAUAUCAUUACGAAGAAGGGCCAUUGCCCGAAACGUCGGCCAUCGUUUUGUUCCUUUUAAGGCCACAGCGUUAUUGACGAUUGCGUUUAUAAUCCUUGUAUAUAUUAAACACUGCCAUCGUGCUGCUUCACGAGCCUGUGAAGAGGAAACACUCAAGAGGCUCGUGAACGCAGAGAUGAGCAAGGUCUCCCAUCGCGUUCUCGCACACGAUGUUCGACGUUUCGCGCCUCGUGCUGCUGGGAGCUUCUUUUGGAAUAGACUACGGCGAACACACACGCAGGAGUGCAGGGAAGUAAGUACACGUGAACACAACAGCACUGUGACGUACAGACUCAUCAGCUGUCAUGGGUAACGGAGCUAUAGAGCAUGUGCGCUUUUCCUGCCCUUAAAUUAAUCAGGACAAAUGAUUGUAGCCAAACUAAUUAAGUUUAGCCAAACUAAUUACGUGAAGGUGUGGGGCAUGGUGCCGUGGUGUAAUGGUCAGCACACUCGACUUGAAAUCCCAAAGGUUGCCGGUCCUGUUCGAUCUCGCGGCGUGGCAGUUGAUGGACCAUGUUUUUUGUUUUGUUUAAACUCCACUCCUGCCUCUGUCCAUGCAGCAAUGUCAACGUCAGUCGAUGGGCAGGUCGAACACACCCACACACACACAUACACACACACAACUCUCUACCUCUUCAGAGCCAGCCAUUGCAUGCCUGCGCCUUCACCGGUUUUUUUUUUCCUUCCAACAUAAAUGUCAUUUUACAAGAGGUCACAACGACGUAGUGGGGCAGAAAUGUGAAUUUCUUUUCAGGAAUCGUUUAAAUUGUAAUACUGAAACUUGCUGGAGAUAUUUACAAUCGUGCAUCUCUGAAUAUUAAAGAUUUUUUUUUACAUAUUAAAAUAGACGGCUGCCAUAUCUCCAAGAUGGCCACCAUCUUUUGUGGAGGACAUCUUUGAAUUUUAGGGGGCAGUUUAUUGUUGUCAUUAAGUAACCCUCGGAGACAAUACAUGGCGAACCUGGUACUUGUAUCACCACUCGAACGAUGAUUCACGUUAUCUGAUCCACUCACAGUACGGUACUGGGUUUUAAACGCAAGGAUCCAAUGGUGUUUGACUUUAAUGUGAAUGCCACGGUAAUUACACUGCAGCAUGCAUUGUACUCGCACGAUAACCUACAAGUUGUUGAUCGCAUUGUAAUUCUGUUAUAUGUAAUGGUAUACUGUAAUGGGUUUUCAAUUCUCGCCAAAAUAUAACGUUUGUCUUGCAACA